UCUAUUUGAAUAUAGGUAUAUAUGUAAAUAGAAACUGGUCCUGGAGGAUCUCCAAUGAACUGUGAAUAAGAGUUACCCCUGGGAAGGGGAGUGGAAUGGGUGGAAAUAGGAUUUUCAAGUUUUAUUCUUCAUGCCUCCUUAUUGUUCGGAUGUUUAAUUUGAACAUGUAAUCACUGUGUAAUUUUAAAAAUGUAAACAACGAGGAAGCAAGGCUCCUCAUCCCCAGGGACGAAGAAUAAGGACUUUGCACAUCCAUCUAAGCUGGGGAGUCAGACGAGCCGGGAGGCCACCCAGCCACUAAGGGACAGAAAACAGAUGUGGAGGAACCGUGAGCCACGUGCACUCACCAAUCCCCUGGUGCUCAGCUCCAAGCAGAGACUGUGGGUCGACUGCACAGGGCAAAUGAGGGUUUUCUCUUCACUUGAGCAAAAGAAAUCAAGAAUGUGGAAGAGGCAGAUGUGACAGCCAUAAAAUGAUGUAUCACCCACAGAUCUGAAGCCGUGGAAAUGGCAACUCAGCCCUGUUCUAACUCAACUCAGCUCAGCAGCAGCAGUGUUAGGAUGCGUAGGUAGAGAGACAUCUCUGCUAUCCCGGUAGGGCACUCAGGCCUGCCUGCAUGGAGGCAGCCUGUUGGGAGGUCUGGCCUCCAGACCUCUACUAGUUCUGAGCUUGUGAGCUGAGAAAGGGCCAAGCUGCAAAUACAAGUCUUUCUUACCUGCAAGGAGCUGGGAAACCCGACAACACACACUUUCCCUGCCUCUUUCACUUUCACUGGCAUCAGAGCCUAAACACGCUGGGAAUUUGAACAGAGGUCUCUCUCUUCAGCUCCAGCCCCCAGGGUGGGUGGGACACUCCGUUUCUCAGCUAUCAGCCCCCGUGUGGGAGAUGGAGGGGUGGGCUUGGAAUUAACCGCCAGGAGAUCUGGAUUGUCAACAGAACAUGCAGGAAGCUGGUUCUAAGCCGUGCAUGUGAAUUAAGGGGACAGAAAUACUCCUUCAGUCUUCAGUAUUUGGGGUGGCUUCCAUAAAGCAGUUGCAGGAAAAAUCACGGACCUGGAUGCCAUGUAAGUCCUAAGCCCUCCUGGAGUGAUUUCCUACUGGAUCAUGUAAGAGGUAAGAGAUCUGCACUCCUGUAUCGAGUUCUUUUUGCCAAUUUGUCUCAAUCACAUUAUUAUCAUUAAUAAUAAUAAUAACACAUAUUUUGUACUUACUACACAUCAGGUGCAAUUUAAAGUAUUUCCAUGUAUCGUCUCACCUACCUAAUUCUCACAACGGCUCUGUGGGCUGGGGCACGAUUACUCUCAUUUCACAGAUGGAGAAACUGAGGCACAGUCAGUUUAAGCCACUCUCCAGGUUCACACGGAUGGCAGGUGGUGAUGCUGGUUCUCCUCUAGAUGACCUGACUCCAGGGCUUCCUCUGCACUGUGCAUGGAACCCUCGGCAGCCUCCUCAGAUGUCACAGGGUCUGUGGACUAAAUGAGGGGGACACGGGUUCGAGCCCUGGUCGGGGAAGAUCACACAUGCCGCGGAGCAACUAAGACCAUGCGCCACAACUGCUGAACCUGUGCUCUAGAGCCCGCGAGCCACAACUACUGAGCCCACGUGUUACAACUACUGAAGCCCGUGCGCCUAGAGCCCGUGCUCCACAAGAGAAGCCACUGCAAUGAGAAGCCUGUGCACUGCAAUGAAGAGUAGCCCCCGCUCGCCGCAACUGGAGAAAGCCCGCGCGCAGCAACAAAGACCCAAUGCAGCCAAAAAUAAAUAAAUAAAAUAAAUUUAAAAAAAAAUCCUGCUAUGAAUACUUGUGUACAAUUUUUUGCACAAACGUUUGUUAUUAUUUCUCUUGGAAGUGGAUUUGCUGGCCCACAUGACAAAUUUGUAUUAACUUAAGAAACUGCCAAACUUUUCCAAAGUAGUUGUACCAUUUUACCUUUCCACCAACAAUGUAGUUUCCAAUUUUUUCCAUAUCUUGCCAAUAUUUGGUGUUAUCUUUUUGAUUAUAGUCAUUCUAGUGUGUAAUAGUAUCUCUUUGUAGUUUUAACUUGCAUUUCUCUGAUGACUAAUGAGGUCGAAUACGUUUUCAUGAGUUUAGAUAUUUGAAUGUCUCUCUUGAUGCAAUGUCAAGUCUUUCACCAUUUUAAAAUUAUGCUUUUGGAUUUCUUAUUUUGGGGUUGUGUUCUUUAUACUUAUGGAUACACAUCUUUUAUUAUAUAUGAUUGGCAAAUAUUUUCUCACAGUCUGUGACUUGUCUUCAUUUCUUUCAAGCUGUCUUUUGAAGAACAAAUUAAACAAUGAGUUAAUGAAGCUUAAUUUACCAAUUUUUCCUUUUAUGGCUUACGCUUUUGGUAUUGUAUCUAUGUUUGCCUAACCAGAGAUUUAAAAUAUCUCCUCCUGUGCUUUCUCUUAGACGUUUUGUAGUUUUAAGCUUUAUAUUUAGGCCUGUGGUCCACGUGUCCUAACCUGACUCAAAGCCCCACUUUUCCUGAGCUAGAGCCUCCUGUGGACAACAGAAAGGGAGCCAUUGUGGGUGGCUUCUUUCUCCCCUGGGGGCAACUGUUGAGUGGAAACCAGCUCAAAAGGUUUCCAUGCUGCUCACCCAGCCACUGCCUUUCUAAACAGAGGUCCGUUGAUAGAGCACUUCAGAACCCUCUCUCUCUGUUUCUAAAACAGCAAUUUGUAACCUGCUUGAGGUUUGAGAUGACUGUUGUUUCUCAACAUCUUGCUUGCUUCAUACAAAUUUACUGCUUCCAGUAGAUAUUUUCUGUGGUGUAUAUUACCAGAUUGUGGUCACUGUAUAGCUUUAAUAUAAAGACUCUAUUUUUGGUUCGUGUUGAUGUGUUUCAAGGAUUGAAGUUAAAUAAUGUGUGAGCAUUAAAUAAUGUUAAUAAAGUUAAAUAAUGUCCACCAUC